GCCGAGGUAGCUCAGUCGGUAGAGCAGGGGACUGAAAAUCCCCGUGUCGGCGGUUCGAUUCCGUCCCUCGGCA
rfam:Desulfatitalea sp. BRH_c12 BRHa_1007453, whole genome shotgun sequence.